UAGUGGCGAACGGGUGAGUAACACGUGGGCAAUCUGCCCUUCACUCUGGGACAAGCCCUGGCAAACGGGGUCUAAUACCGGAUAAUACUUUUCUCCGCAUNGGGGAAGGUUGAAAGCUCCGGCGGUGAAGGAUGAGCCCGCGGCCUAUCAGCUUGUUGGUGGGGUGAUGGCCUACCAAGGCGACGACGGGUAGCCGGCCUGAGAGGGCGACCGGCCACACUGGGACUGAGACACGGCCCAGACUCCUACGGGAGGCAGCAGUGGGGAAUAUUGCACAAUGGGCGAAAGCCUGAUGCAGCGACGCCGCGUGAGGGAUGACGGCCUUCGGGUUGUAAACCUCUUUCAGCAGGGAAGAAGCGAAAGUGACGGUACCUGCAGAAGAAGCGCCGGCUAACUACGUGCCAGCAGCCGCGGUAAUACGUAGGGCGCAAGCGUUGUCCGGAAUUAUUGGGCGUAAAGAGCUCGUAGGCGGCUUGUCACGUCGGAUGUGAAAGCCCGGGGCUUAACCCCGGGUCUGCAUUCGAUACGGGCAGGCUAGAGUGUGGUAGGGGAGAUCGGAAUUCCU
rnacentral:rRNA from 1 species